GACGAACGCUGGCGGCGUGCUUAACACAUGCAAGUCGAACGGUAAAGCCCUGCUUUUGUUGGGUGCGCGAGUGUCGAAAGGGGGUGUAACACGUGAGUGACCUGCCCUUGGCUUUGGGAUAACUUCAGUAAACUGGGGCGAAUACCGGAUAGGAGCACCGGCGGCACGGGUGGUGUUUUAAAGUGUGGCAGGUUGGGGAUGGACUGGCGGCUCUUCGUCUUGUUGGUGGGUAGUGGCUUUCCCAGGCUUUGACGGGUAGCCGGCCUGAGAGGGUGACCGGCCACAUUGGGACUGAGAUACGGCCCAGACUCCUACGGGAGGCAGCAGUGGGGAAUAUUGCACAAUGGGCGGAAGCCUGAUGCAGCAACGCCGCGUGCUGGAUGACGGCCUUCGGGUUGUAACCCGCUUUCGCCUGUGACGAAGCGUGAGUGACGGUAAUGGGUAAAGAAGCACCGGCUAACUACGUG
rnacentral:rRNA from 1 species